CCCUCCCUCCCUGCCUGCCCCAAAGGUGCUGACAACUGUCAGCUGUCUUGUGGGGGCCAGCAGCCAGCAGUGCCGAGCAAGGAGUACAAGUCAAUGAUGGUGAUGACACUGACAACAAGGAGCAUGUCCUCCUAGAGUGACCUCAAGCUGGUACUGGCCACAGAGAUCACUUUGUCGCACUCCACUUUGGGUCGUGUUCCUGAUGUAUCUGUGGAGCAUAGACAUUGAUGCAGUGCUGGUGGCCAUGUCCUGCUUUGCCCUGCUGUGUGAGGAAGCAGACAUCCGCUGUGUGUGGGACGAGGUCACUGCUACCGUCACCUACCUGCUGCCCAACUACCACGUCUACCAGGAGCUUGCCGCGGCCUCUACCAUACUCACGACUGGUAUGUGUGUGUGUGUGUGGGUCAGCGUUGCAAGAUUAUCGUACUCAGCACACAAUUUACCAUUUUUUAGCCUCAAACUCUCGUAAUGUACACAAAUAACAGAGAAGUAUUAAAGUCAGGGUUAAAACUGUUAUUUAUUUAUGCUGGUUUUGUUUGUUUUCGUUAAAGAUAUCAGGCAGAGACUUCA